rnacentral:rRNA from 1 species
UACGGGGGGAGCAAGCGUUGUUCGGAUUUACUGGGCGUAAAGGGCGCGUAGGCGGCCACUGCAAGUCGACUGUGAAAUCUCCGGGCUUAACCCGGAAAGGUCAGCCGAUACUGCGGGGCUAGAGUGCAGAAGGGGCAACUGGAAUUCUCGGUGUAGCGGUGAAAUGCGUAGAUAUCGAGAGGAACACCUGCGGCGAAGGCGGGUUGCUGGGCUGACACUGACGCUGAUGCGCGAAAGCUAGGGGAGCGAACGGG